UACGUAGGGUGCAAGCGUUAAUCGGAAUUACUGGGCGUAAAGCGUGCGCAGGCGGUUGUGCAAGACAGAUGUGAAAUCCCCGGGCUUAACCUGGGAAUUGCAUUUGUGACUGCACGGCUAGAGUGUGUCAGAGGGGGGUAGAAUUCCACGUGUAGCAGUGAAAUGCGUAGAUAUGUGGAGGAAUACCGAUGGCGAAGGCAGCCCCCUGGGAUAACACUGACGCUCAUGCACGAAAGCGUGGGGAGCAAACAGA
rnacentral:rRNA from 1 species